UUGUGUUUUGUGUGAUGUUCCCAGAGAUUGCUUGUCGUCUUCUGUUUUGAUUUACCGUUUUCGAUGGAUCUUUGAAUCUGGACAUUUAAGAAAAGGCAGUCUCAAGUGGACACUCAAAGAAAUGCUGUUGUUUUUCACACCUGCAUUGGCUUCAUUUUUUAAACACCAGCAGAUGCAGCUUUAGCCAGAGUCGAUUUGUUUGGGUGUUUUUGGAGGAGGAUCAGGGCAGUCUGUUUGAUGCAAGGCCAGCAGGCAUGCGUGAGACCCCCAGUGUGGAGGAUAAGUCACCUCCAUCAUGUUCCAAACACAGAAAUCUGAUCUGCAGGUGGUUGGAGGAGGCAGAAUGACAGCCAUAUGGACACAGUCAUCAGGUGCACAGAUCUACAGCUACAGCACUAAGUAGGAACAAAAAGGAAAAGAACACCAAAUUGCAGACGACAAAGAAUGAUUAUUCACACUCAGAAGUGAUGGAUUGUGAAUACUCCAUUACUUAACUUAACAUUAGUUUUUAGGUAUUUGUAUUUUAUGUAGGUUUGUUUUUUUGUCAAACAACUUUGGACUAUGGGACCCAUUCAUUACUCAAUUACACGCAUCAUGUGUCCUCAGCCUAAGACCCCACUAACUAAAGACAUACCAAAGACCAGAGUGCUCCGAGACCAAGACAAGACCGAGACAUUUCUUGAUCGAGUCAAGACCAAGGCAAGGCGAGGCCAAGACCAAGACCAUAAAUAUCAAUUAAAAUCAUCAUCUUGCGUGCAGCAAGCAUUUCACUCACCCAGACUGUAACACCGGGAAGGGUUUAGCAGACUUUUAAGCUUUUAGAAAGGAAAACAAACAAGGAUUAGACCAAGACCAAUUUCAAGUACUACAACACUACUUCUAUUGAUCCUCUUUUUUUUCUGUUGAUCCUCUUUUUUUUUUUUGUUAUCUUCACAUUGCAAUUCACCUCACAAGUCUUUGAUGUGUGGAGUGGCUUUUCAAUUCUGGUUACACAAUGGUGCAUUAGCUGGUUUAUUUAUGAAUACCUAAUACUACAUUUUAAGCAGUAUCUGAGGCUGGUUGUCCGUAUUCACUUCUGCAUCGUUUUUUAAACAAAUAUUGGUACUGUUACUUGAGUAAAGAGUGUGUUUACAUUGCCACCUCUCUUCACACUCAUAUCAGACUCAAACCAGACACUCCUCAACUAGAAUCUUUAUUUUUCUGUCUGCUUUUAGACUCCCUUAUUCACUAUUUAUUUCAGCAGCUCAUUGGCUGUGUCUCUUUCUUUGACCUUUAUGGCGGCGCAGUAUUGUUCUGCUUUCUUUCCCCCUGCUGAGACUUUCUUCUGACCUAACACACAAAUGAACACCACUCAUAUCAGGUGUAGCCUGUGUGAUAUAAAUGUAUACAUCUAUAUCUUCCUUCAUACAUGUCCAUCCAUUUCUGUACCUUUCAUGGUUGCU